rnacentral:rRNA from 1 species
GACGAACGCUGGCGGCGUGCUUAACACAUGCAAGUCGAACGGAAAGGCCCUGCUUUUGUGGGGUGCUCGAGUGGCGAACGGGUGAGUAACACGUGAGUAACCUGCCCUUGACUUUGGGAUAACUUCAGGAAACUGGGGCUAAUACCGGAUAGGAGCUCCUGCUGCAUGGUGGGGGUUGGAAAGUUUCGGCGGUUGGGGAUGGACUCGCGGCUUAUCAGCUUGUUGGUGGGGUAGUGGCUUACCAAGGCUUUGACGGGUAGCCGGCCUGAGAGGGUGACCGGCCACAUUGGGACUGAGAUACGGCCCAGACUCCUACGGGAGGCAGCAGUGGGGGAUAUAGCACAAUGGGCGGAAGCCUGAUGCAGCAACGCCGCGUGCGGGAUGACGGCCUUCGGGUUGUAAACCGCUUUCGCCUGUGACGAAGCGUGAGUGACGGUAAUGGGUAAAGAAGCACCGGCUAACUACGUG